rnacentral:rRNA from 1 species
GUCUACGGACAUGCUACCCAGAACAAGCCCGAUCCUGUCUGAUCUCAGAAGCUAAGCAAAGCCGGACCUGGUUAGGACUUGGAUAGGACACUACCUAGGAAGACCAGGUGCUGUAGGCG